rnacentral:rRNA from 1 species
AUGCCGCCCGCGGCGCUGCCCAGCUUUGCUCUCCUCCGCGUCGCCACCACCAUUGCCAUGCUGCUGGUGCAGCAAGCUCGUUUGCUCCCAGUGGUGGCCAUGGCGCGGACCAAACUGACCGCGGGAGACACCCUGACGGUGCCGGACUACAUCACCAGCCCGUCCGGCAGCUUCGCCUUUGGCUUCCGCGCCCACGACUCUGACCCGACUAAGUUCCUCCUCGCCACGUGGUUCCGGUUAGGUUCCAUGCCGCCGCAGGCGCAGUCCGUGGUGUGGUUCGCGAAAGAGUCCGCCAUGGGCACCACGCCUAACGCCACGGCACGGUCCGUCCUCAGCAUCCCCGCAGACGGCCAGCUCAAGCUCACCGACGGCAGCAUAGAGCUUUGGAGGGCCCCGACCCCCAGCAUGAAGCGUGGGUCCGUCCUCGUGCUAACAGACUCCGGCAACGUUCAGCUCCUCGGGGACGGCGACAACGUGCUCUGGGAGAGCUUUGGGUUCCCAACGGAUACCCUCCUUCCGGGCCAAUCUUUGGAGGGGUUUCUCUUCUCCAAGCGCGCGGACACGGAGUUCACCACGGGUCGGUUCAGCUUGGCAGCCCAGAGCGACGGCAACGUCGUCCUCUGCGUCGACCUCUUCACCGGUGACAUAUUGCAAAACGCCUACUGGGCCACAGCCACCAACGGCCCCUACGGCAACACCACCAUCACCUUCGAUGAGUAUGGCCACCUAAGCUACACUCUCUAUGACGGCAGCAUCAACAACUUGAUUUCGCCUCUCGCCACUGGCAGGAACUAUUUCCGGUUCGCCAGGAUGGACCCCGACGGCAUCGUCCGUGCCUACGCCCGUCCCAAACAUGGCGGCGGUGGUGGCCAGAACACGACUUGGACCGUGUCGGGCACGCUCCCCAGUGUCGGGGGCUGCAAGUUGAAGACGACCAGGAUGCAAGGCAUGUGCGGCCCUGGGUCAUACUGCGUGGAGACCAAAGAGCGGCUCAACUGCGUGUGCCCGAGUGGGUACACUUACAUCGAUGCAGAGCAUACUGAGAGUGGCUGCACACCGGGGUUCGAGCCACAGAGGUGCGGCGAGGAGAACAUCUCUGACAAGUUCUCACUCGUAGAGCUGCCAAACACCAUCUGGGAGCUCUCAAUAUACUACAAGAAGUUUCCAUCGGUCUCAGAGGAGCAGUGCUACGACUACUGCCUCAAUGAUUGCUUUUGCGCAGCAGCGCUGAUGAUCAACGGAUCAGACUGUGUCGAGUUGGGGGCACUCGUGUACGGGCGGCAGGGAAAUGAUGUUACAACGAAAGCACUGAUCAAGGUGAGGAAGGGGAAUAAUACUCCUUAUAUGGAGACACCGCCAUCAAAAACGACGACAAUACUUGUAGGUCCAUAUAAGAUCGUCACCAUUUGCUUGGCCUUAAUCUUACUGAUCACCCUCGGUGGCAGCCUCAUGGCAUUGUAUUACCUCACCAGGAACAGAGAUAGCCAACGGUUGUUGAGCUCGAGCGUGAGAUCGUUCAGUUGCAAGGAGCUUUACGAAGCUACCAAUGGCUUCAAGAAACUGCUGGGAGCUUUGGGGAGGUCUACAAAGGAACGAUAA